rnacentral:rRNA from 1 species
GACGAACGCUGGCGGCGUGCUUAACACAUGCAAGUCGAACGGAAAGGCCCUGCUUUUGUGGGGUUCUCGAGUGGCGAACGGGUGAGUAACACGUGAGUAACCUGCCCUUGACUUUGGGAUAACUUCAGGAAACUGGGGCUAAUACCGGAUAGGAGCUCCUGCUGCAUGGUGGGGUUUGGAAAGUUUCGGCGGUUGGGGAUGGACUCGCGGCUUAUCAGCUUGUUGGUGGGGUAGUGGCUUACCAAGGCUUUGACGGGUAGCCGGCCUGAGAGGGUGACCAGGCACAUUGGGACUGAGAUAGGGCGCAGAAUCGUACGGGAGGCAGCAGUGGGGAAUAUUGCACAAUGGGGGGAAGCGUGAUGCAGCAACGCCGCGUGCGGGAUGACGGCCUUCGGGUUGUAAACCGCUUUCGCCUGUGACGAAGCGUGAGUGACGGUAAUGGGUAAAGAAGCACCGGCUAACUACGUG